AACGAACGCUGGCGGCAUGCCUAACACAUGCAAGUCGAACGAGCCCUUCGGGUCUAGUGGCGCCCGGGUUCGUCACGCGUGGGAACAUGCCCUUAGGUUCGGCAUAACUCUCCGACAGGGGUGCUAAUACCGGACAGUGUCUUCGGCCCAAAGAUUUAUCGCAUUUGGAUGGGCCCGCGUUUGAUUAGCUAGUUGGUAGGGUAACAGCCUACUAAGGCGCCGAUGCGUAGGUGGUCUGAGAGGGUGAUCAGCCACACUGGGACUGAGACACGGCCCAGACUCCUACGGGAGGAAGCAGUAGGGAAUCUUCCGCAAUGGGCGAAAGCCUGACGGAGCAACGCCGCGUGAGUGAUGAAGGUCUUCGGAUCGUAAAACUAUGUUAUUAGGGAAGAACAAAUGUGUAAGUAACUAUGCACGUCUUGACGGUACCUAAUCAGAAAGCCACGGCUAACUACGUG
rnacentral:rRNA from 1 species